GAUGAACGCUGGCGGCGUGCCUAAUACAUGCAAGUCGAGCGAACGGACGAGAAGCUUGCUUUUCUGAUGUUAGCGGCGGACGGGUGAGUAACACGUGGAUAACCUACCUAUAAGACUGGGAUAACUUCGGGAAACCGGAGCUAAUACCGGAUAAUAUUUUGAACCGCAUGGUUCAAAAGUGAAAGACGGUCUUGCCGUCACUUAUAGAUGGAUCCGCGCUGCAUUAGCUAGUUGGUAAGGUAACGGCUUACCAAGGCAACGAUGCAUAGCCGACCUGAGAGGGUGAUCGGCCACACUGGAACUGAGACACGGUCCAGACUCCUACGGGAGGCAGCAGUAGGGAAUCUUCCGCAAUAGGCGAAAGCCUGACGGAGCAACGCCGCGUGAGUGAUGAAGGUCUUCGGAUCGUAAAACUCUGUUAUUAGGGAAGAACAUAUGUGUAAGUAACUGUGCACAUCUUGACGGUACCUAAUCAGAAAGCCACGGCUAACUACGUG
rnacentral:rRNA from 1 species